rnacentral:rRNA from 1 species
GGAGUAUUGGACAAUGGGGGCAACCCUGAUCCAGCAAUGCCGCGUGGGUGAUGAAGGCCUUCGGGUUGUAAAGCCCUUUCGGCGGGGACGAUGAUGACGGUACCCGCAGAAGAAGCCCCGGCUCACUUCGGGCCAGCAGCCGCGGUAAUACGACGGGGGCUAGCGUUGUUCGGAAUGACUGGGCGUAAAGGGCGCGUAGGCGGCGGCUUUAGUCAGGCGUGAAAGCCCUGGGCUUAACCUGGGAACUGCGUUUGAUACUGGGUCGCUUGAGUGUGGGAGAGGAUGGUGGAAUUCCCAGUGUAGAGGUGAAAUUCGUAGAUAUUGGGAAGAACACCGGUGGCGAAGGCGGCCAUCUGGACCACUACUGACGCUGAGGCGCGAAAGCGUGGGGAGCAAAC